rnacentral:misc_RNA from 1 species
AAAGUCGUAACAAGGUUUCCGUAGGUGAACCUGCGGAAGGAUCAUUAAAGAGUUUUAAGGAGUGAGUUGGUGAGGCAAUUAUUAGCUGAUUAGUUGGCUGGGUUUAUAUCCAUGCCUAGGUACUAUGAAUGCUUUUAAUGUAACCACCACCACGACCUAUGCGUAUGUUGUGUUUGACUGUGUAAUAAGUGACUAAGAGACAGAGAUAACUUUUAACAAUGGAUCUCUUGGCUCUC